rnacentral:rRNA from 1 species
GCUGGAUUCGCUAGUAAUCGCGCAUCAGCCACGGCGCGGUGAAUACGUUCCCGGGCCUUGUACACACCGCCCGUCAAGUCAUGGAAGCCGGGGGUGCCUGAAGUGCGCUGCCGCGAGGAGCGCCCUAGGGUAAAACCGGUGACUGGGGCUAAGUCGUAACAAGGUAAC